AGUGAACGCUGGCGGCAGGCCUAACACAUGCAAGUCGAGCGGCAGCGGGUUCCCGCGAGGGGAUGCCGGCGAGCGGCGGACGGGUGAGGAACACAUCGGAAUCUGCCUGGUUGCGGGGGAUAACGUAGGGAAACUUACGCUAAUACCGCAUGCGACCCUGAGUCGACGGACGUGGGGGUGAAAGUGAGGGACCUUCGGGCCUCACGCGACCAGAUGAGCCGAUGUCGGAUUAGCUAGUUGGCGGGGUAACGGCCCGCCAAGGCGACGAUCCGUAGCUGGUCUGAGAGGAUGAUCAGCCACA
rnacentral:rRNA from 1 species